GCCGGGUCGGAUAAACCGGAGGAAGUGGGGAUGACGUCAAAGUCCUCAUGGCCCUUAUGGGUAGGGCUUCACACGUCAUACAAUGGUCGGUACAGAGGGUUGCCAAGCCGCGAGGCGGAGCCAAUCCCACAAAGCCGAUCGUAGUCCGGAUUGUUCUCUGCAACUCGAGAGCAUGAAGUCGGAAUCGCUAGUAAUCGCAGGUCAGCAUACUGCGGUGAAUACGUUCCCGGGUCUU
rnacentral:rRNA from 1 species